CCACCUUCCACUAGCGUCGCCGCCCCUCUUCCCCCUCCCCCACGCCCAAGCCCUGAGGCCACUCUCCCGAGCCACACGAGCCCUACUCCCUGACACCCGCCUCUGUGCCCAACGCUUGCCCCGAGGGUAGGCGUGUCCCGGGAGCCGUGGAGUUGGCUAGCUCGGCCCGCGGGCCGGCGGGCGGGAGAGCGGGCUGGACCGGGCCAGGCCCCCUGCGGCGCUGCGAACCCGGGUGCACAGCCGUCCCCGCGCCCGCCACCCUCGGGCACACAAACCCCGAGCGCCCAGCCCGCCGAGGCUGCGGAGGAGCGAGUCAGGUGCGGCCGCGAUGCGGGCUUACUCACUCGAUGAAGAAGCUGGCGCCCUCCUCCGUGAAGCCCUCCUCCCAGCCGCGCGGCAAGUCUGCGGGAAGGCGAGAAAAGUCGGUCAAACUCGCGCGGCCGUGGCGUCCCCCGCCCCCGUCGCCCCCCGCUGGCCCCGGGCCCACCUGAGCGGAUCAUGUGACCCGAGUUGACGGGCUCGCCGGUACGCGGGUGCAGCCAAGUCGUGCAGCGGAGCUGGUCACUGCGGGAGACGUGCACCUGUUAGCGCCACCGCCCCCCACGCCCGCCCCGGGCCCCGGGCCCCCAGCGCCCGACCCCACCCGAGUGCUGCCGCCCCUCGCGCACUUGAUAAAGAAGACGCGGCCGUCCCGACAUACGCCGUACGACCAGUGCUCAGGCAACUCCACCACCAGGAGAUAUCCUGCAGGAAAUGUUAUAUCCCUUCAGUGUGGCUCAACGGCUAAGAGUGCAUACUACUGUUGAAGAGGACCUGGGUUCAGUUCCCAGGACCUACUGAAUUUGGCUUCACAACAAAAACCUGAUACACAGCCACGUGGGUGGAUCUCAAGAUGUUAAUACCAGGAGCUGGAGAGAUGAUUCAGCGGUUAAGAGCACUGGCUACU